GCCUCUGACUCCUCCCCUCCUAUGUCUAGACUUGUUUGACAUUGCAGCAGACAUUGCAGGUGACUGACUGAUCUACAAGUCACCUUGCAAAAUAAAUCACUACUUAGAAUUAUUUGUAGAUCAGUCAGUCAGUCACAAUUUACCCACAAUCCAUCACAGAUGUGAUGCUCUCGGACACAGCCUCUGACUACUGCAACACUCUCAGGGCUAUAGGAGGUGAUGUGAAAAAACACCCAGGAAUUAUCUAGCAAGGUUAUCAAAAUAGUUUUCUUCUGCCUUUCUUGGCUCCAGCUGUCAUAACAAUGUCCAACUAGAGGGUUGUUUAACUUUUAGUAAAUCUUGUGUGAAAUUAAUUAAUUAAUGAAUGAAUUAAUUAAUGACUAGCCUCCUGAACCUGUGACUGUAAUAUGUGACUUUCUCUUUCUCUCUGUAGUUAGCAUUAGGACAGGGCUGACACUAAAUGACUAAACUCAUUAGAUGUUUUUCUAACUCACCUGUGAAGAUAUAUUAAUGCACUGCACAUUGUGGGGGUGAUGGCUGGAUGGAUGACUGGCAGGAUGGACUAUAGCUGGAUGGAUGAUGGCUGGCUGGAAGGCUGGCUGGAUUGAUGGAUAAUGGAUGGAUGAUGGAUGGAUGGAUGAUUGAUUGAUGGAUGGAUGAUGGGUAGAUUGAUGGAUGAUGUAUAUAUGGAUAGAUGAUGGAUAGAUUGAUGAUGGCUUGAUGGAUGGAUGGAUGGAUGGAUGGAUAGAUGGCUGGAUGGAAUGAUGGCUGAAUGGAUGGCUGGAUGAUGGAUGACUGGCUGGCAGCGGCAUCUUUGCCAACUCUGCAAAGUGGCAGAACUCAGGUGAUGCUGUGUGUGUGUGUGUGUGUGUGUGUGUGUGUGUGUGUGUGUGUGUGUGUGUGUGUGUGUGUGUGUGUGUGUGUGUGUGUGUGUGUGUUUUUGAAGUGGGGGUGAACCUAUUACCUUGUAAUGUGAUACAGUUUGUUUUGUCAAUUCCGUUAUGUGUGCAAAGUAAACCUAACCUUGCCUCAUUAAAUAAUGAUUGAGUUUAUCAGGUUGGACUGAGUCAAUCAUUCAUUCGCAGGCAGAGCAGGGUAGCAUUUCAAAUGGCACCCUAUUCCCUAUAUAGUGCACUACUUUUGACCAGGGCCCCAUAGGGUAGCACACUAUAUAGGGAUGUGUGAUUUGGA
rnacentral:lncRNA from 1 species